AUAUUCUCCCUACUCCGAAUAUGAUUUACUGCAGAUCGAACGGCCCUUUUAAAAGGAUUUAUUUUCUUAAGAUUACCUCUUAAUGGUUGGGAAGAUUAUACAUAACUAUAAUUUUAUAAUUUAAUUUUCUUUUAAUGGGAAGAUGCAGAUAUUUUAGGCUUGUCUCAACAGGACAACCUACUCUCUCAAAAAUAUCAUACGUCCCUUUUCAGAAAUAGAGCUAAAACCAAGGAAGUAUGUCACCUUCUGCGCUUAAAAUACAACAAAGAUCAAUUCAUGAAAUAUUUUUUGUGGCCCAUAGUGGGUCCCAUUAUUAGAUGCCAACAUAUGCCAUUAUUUAUGCGCUCAAUAGAUAAGGAUGAGGAUCUAUGUCGAUCAUUGUUGGGGCGGUCGGUUUGAAUAAGAAACAGACAACAGUCAACUCUCAUCAUUCUUAUCUAGCACUGGCUAGUUUAAACACACACAUAAUUGUAUUGGAUGUAACGGUCACCUAUUAAUUGGCACUUACAACUCCAACCACUCUAUUUUUCUUAUCUAAUUCCUCCAACCAUUUGAAGAUCUUCUACCCAAAACUCCAAGAGAAAAGACUAAGCAUCUCCUCAACUAAUGUGAUAUAUAACGGAUGGGUAUGGUAAUGCAAUGGAGCAUGGCUUUGUACAUAAUUAAGUUCGUUUGCGUGGGGCUCAAUGGGUGGAUCUCUUUUACUUGGAUGAUGGCUGAUGAGAUUGCGCAUGCUCUGAGGACAUGGGACGUUCGAUUUUUUCCGAUUGAUUUUUGAUGUUCAUGGCUCUUCUUCUUCUUCUUCCUUGUUCAUAGCACUUUUGUUUCAUGUCAUGUUUUUCUGUGAACUUCAGUAAGUUAUUUUUCAAUCUGGAGGGAUUAGUUUCUUUAA